UACGUAGGAGGCAAGCGUUGUCCGGAAUUACUGGGCGUAAAGCGCGUGUAGGUGGUGGGACAAGUCUGCUGUGAAAGCGCCUGGCUUAACCGGGCGAGGUCGGCGGAAACUGUGCGACUUGAGGGCUUCAGAGGGAUGUGGAAUCCAGGUGGAGUGGUGAAAUGCGUAGAGAUCUGGAAGAACACCAAAGGCGAAGGCAGCAUCCUGGGAAGUUCCUGACGCUCGGGUGCGAAAGGCCAGGGGAGCGAACAGGA
rnacentral:rRNA from 1 species